rnacentral:rRNA from 1 species
UACGGAGGGUGCAAGCGUUAUCCGGAUUUACUGGGUUUAAAGGGUGUGUAGGCGGGCUUUUAAGUCAGUGGUGAAAUCUCCGGGCUCAACCUGGAAACUGCCAUUGAUACUAUUAGUCUUGAAUUUUUGUUGAGGUAGGCGGAAUAAGUCAUGUAGCGGUGAAAUGCAUAGAUAUGACUUAGAACACCAAUUGCGAAGGCAGCUUGCUAAACAAAUAUUGACGCUGAGGCACGAAAGCGUGGGGAUCAAACAGG